rnacentral:rRNA from 1 species
AUACACAGCCACACCACCCUGAAUAUGCCCAGAUCUCAUCUCAUCUAGGAAACUAAGCAGGGUCAGGCCUCAUUAGUACUUGGAAGGGAGGGAAUUAAAAUAUACAGAGGAGGGCAGCACCUGUGGCUC